CUUCAAAGAUUGGACUGUUGACCAUGAUCCCACAGGUCUGGGCUGUGCAAAUAGCCAUUGCCAUUAUCUCUACCCUGUUCCGUGUUUCCAGAGAGAUUCUACCUGGUAUUAUUCAGUAAAAGCAGGGCAGCUAACCUAAGCCCUGAUGAAGAAAGUGGCCCAGCAGAUAACCCAGAAGGUCACAGCAGCAGACCCAGAACCCAAGCUCAGGUCAACUGGUCCUUUACCCUCUUUCCCCUACUCCAACUACCUACUUAGAAUCUGUUUAGAAUGAGACUUUCAAAGAGGCUUUUGUGCAAACUUCAACUUAUAUUAAGAGGUUAUACACUGUUGUAAGAAAAGGAGAGACUCUGGGUUUAGAUAGACUCAGUUUCACAUUUUGAUUCUACCCCUUGUGUGACAUGGGACACGUCGUUUAAUCUCUCUGUACCUCACUGACUUCAUUUGUAAUGUAAGAAACUCACUACAACUUCAUAUAUAUGAAUAAUCGUGGGUGUUAAGAGACUAUAUACACAUACACAUACAUGCAUGUACACAACCUAUCAUGUGCUUGAGACAUUGUAAGUUAGUAGGUGCUUCAUAAAUUUGAAGGGAAUGUCCUUCCUGCAGCCUCAACCCAAAAUGAAGGGCUGUGAUUUUUUUGGAGGGUUGUCUUGGUAAAGCUCUCUUGACUCACAUAACCUGGCUGAGUGAGGGGAAAGCCUUCUCAGGGCCCUGUGGUCCUGUCACCAGCAAUGAUUUAUGGCUUAUGACAGCCAAGUGCUCACUUUUGGAACCACUGCUUGUUGAGGCUAGGGUGGGUUUUUGAGGCUUUUGUCUAAUGGGCUUUGUUUAAGUGCUAAUAAACACAAAAACUUCUUCUCUAUAAACAUGUUCUAUGUGGACCCCUGAGGCAACAGUGCUGAUGAGUUUAUUUCUUUAAUGAAAAAUAAGAUGAACUGAAAGCACCCAAUUAGAGAGGCUAAGUCAGAUCAGUAGAAGCUUACAAUAGAAGGGGCUUUUAGGGGCUUGAGCAGGAGAAACCAUAAUGAGAAAAACACUGAAUUUGCUUUUAUUCUUAGCAGCAGCCUCUUUGUUUGUUCUCCCUCUAGGCUCAGAGCUGUGCUGCUGGGACUGAACUCAUUUCCCAACAAUGUAUUUUUGUUUCUUACUUGCAAUGUUAUGUGAAUGGACUUUGAAAUGCAGGCGUCUUAGUCCCUGUGCAUGCAAAGGGUUUGACAACACAAUGAGUAGCAGUGGACAAUUUCCAACUCUCACCUGGAUGCCUGUUCCUAUUGUAAAAGAUACCCCAAACCCUGGCUCUUCUGAUCCAGGAGCCACUUCUUGAAAUGUUAACAAAGAGGAUGAGACUAGGGAAGUGACUCUUUUUUAGGUAUUGCUCUUGCCCAUGGGUUAUGGCUCAAACACUGUCAUGUGUGCAAUUUUUAAAUAUUAUCAAUAAUUUGUGGGUGAUGGCGUUGCAGGCUGCUGAUGGAGCAAAACGAAAUAAAACUUUUAAGCAUAAUGAGUCUCCUACAUGCAGAGCUUCCCUGAUGUGCAGAUAUAUUAUAAAGUUUCAGAACCCAGGCUGUUCCAGUUUAAUGCCAUUAGAAUUAGGACUGUAUCUCUUCACUGACCUAGCCAGACCCAAGAUACUGCAGCAGAGUUCUGAUUACACACAUCCUUUCCUCAUCUUCUUCUAAUUUUCUUCCCCUUCUGGUGCCCCUAUAAUUGGCAUAUCCCAUUAUGGUAUGUAUCUGUUCCAUCAAUUCAUCUUCCUUUCCUAGUAUGCUAUUCAGUACAGAUAUAUUUACAGAACACUAACACCAGCCAUAUUCUGUAUCAUACAUGAGGAUUCAAUGGUGAGCAAAACAAACAUAGACCCUUACAACCAUAACCAAAAAUUUAGAUGAAUAAGUUGCUGUAAACUGUAAUCAAUGCCACAGAUGAGAAGUACAGGCUACAACAUGAACUUGUAGCUGGAGAGCUGAUGAAGGCUGAGUCAGAGAGGCUUUCAUGAGGAAGUAUCUGUUGGACCAAGUUGUGAAGGAUGAAUAAGCAAAAGGAAGAAGAAGGUCAUUCUGGGCUACAGAAAUAACAUAUGCAAAAGUCCAGAACCCAAAGGAAUUUGGCAUUUUGGUGGAACUCAAAGAAAGAGAGUGUGGCCAGAGAACCAGAGAAGAAUGAGAGAUGACACUGGCAAGGGUCAGGGCAGUGGCCACAUCAAGUAGGACCAAAGACGUUGGGAUUUUAUCUUCAAACCAAUGAGAUACCAUUGAAAAGUAAAAUAGAAUAGAGAUAUGAUUAGUUUUUCUUUAAUAAAAGACUAAUGUAACUCUAGCAUGUAGAAUUGAUGAAAGAGGGAGUGAUUCUUGAUGCAUGAGUUGGAACAUAAUUCUCCUUCUCUUGAAUGUGAGAUGGGCUCAGUGACUCAUUCCCAAUGAAUAGCAUAUGAUGGAAGUGACAAUGUGUACCUUCUAAGACUGGGUUAAAACAGACAAUGUGACCUCUACCACACUCUUUAAUCACUUUCUCUACAAGAAUCCAGCCCCCCUGUCAUGAGAAAUGAAGACCUUUUGGCAAAAAAACUGGAAAUUCCUGUUAACAGCCAUGGGAGGGAUCCAACUAUGGAGCAAAUCCUUCAACCACAGUCAGGCCUUCAGAUGAUGGUAGCCCCUACCAGCAUCUUGACAGACUCCAAGUCAGAACAAGCCAGCUUAAUGGCUCCUGGUCUCCUGACUCUCAGAAAUUGUGUGAGAUAAUAAAUAUUCAUUAUUUUAA